rnacentral:misc_RNA from 1 species
UUUUCCUUCUGGUUAAAGAUUUUUACUACCGAAGCCUUACACAGCGGCUCUAAAGAAAAUGUGGAGUCUUGCCUUUUUAGGUAGAGACGAUACCGCUGAAAUGCUGUGAUCACGCAAGUGUACCAGCAGCCUAACACUUCUUAGGCCCACAGAUCAAGUUGCGGUGGUCGACGGCUAUAGCUUGAGACUAUAAUAUGACCGGUUCUAACCUGAACGGUUAAGAAACAACGUUCCGUAGGUGAACCUGCGGAAGGAUCAUUAAUGAGUUAGGGUCUUCUAGGCCCGAUCUCCAACCCUUUGCAUAAUUACCUAUGUUGCUUUGGCGGGCCCGUCUUUAACCGGACCGCCGGAGGUUUUAGACCUCUGGCUAGUGCUCGUCGGUAGCCCACAACAAAAUCUUUUAACCAUGUAAAUCUGAAAUUAGUUAAAUAAACUAAAACUUUCAACAACGGAUCUCUUGGUUCUG